UAGUAACGGCGAGUGAAGCGGGAAGAGCUCAAGCUUGAAAUCUCCGCACAAGUUUUGUGUGGCGAAUUGUAGUCUAUAGAAGCGAUGUCAGCAUAGCUGCUCUAGUCAAGUUCCUUGGAAAAGGACAGCAUGGAGGGUUAUACUCCCGUCAUUGCUGGAGCAUGCUGUGUGUACGACACGUUUUCUUUGAGUCGCGUUGUUUGGGAAUGCAGCGCAAAGUAGGUGGUAAAUUCCAUCUAAAGCUAAAUAUAAGUGCGAGACCGAUAGCGAACAAGUACCGUGAGGGAAAGAUGAAAAGAACUUUGAAAAGAGAGUUAAAGAGUACCUGAAACUGCUGAAAGGGAAGCGAAUCGUAUCCAGUGUCUAUAAUCCGCAACAUAUUACAAUGAUGUGUCUUUGCUUUCCGCGUGUAGGUAGUAGCCUUGGUUGCACCUUGCGUGGAUUGGUUGAGACAUAUCGUUGCCCUGUGUUGUGGUGGGACGUCAAAGUCAGUUUGUACGUCGCAGGAAAUGAUUGACGAGGAAGAUAGGUUUGCUGCUUGCAGCGUUCCAUUAUAUCCUUAUCGAUGUCUGCUGUGACGGAGACUGAGGUGUCUUUAACAUGCUCUCGAGUCUAUUAGACAUUCACUUGGUUGAGUGCGUAGAUAGCUUGCUAUGUACGUGUUUAUACAGGGUGAUUGUGUUUGGUAGUAACUUGUUGCUGUUC
rnacentral:rRNA from 1 species